CUAAUAAAGUUACCUAUUUUUUUUUAAGUUAUGAGUUAUGACAGAGAUUUAAAUUUCGUGGCAUUUAAAUCGUGUUGUGUGUUGGUCUGCAAACACCAUCAUGCAUAAUCGUGUUGUGUGUUGGUCUGCAUUUAAAUUUCGUGACAUUUAAAUCGUGUUGUGUGUUGGAAAAAUAAUGCAAGACAUGCAUGACAUGCAAGAAUCUAGCAAUAGCACACCUGCUACCUCACAUGCAUGCCAAAGAAAAGUAUGGGAUCUGUCAGCUUUCUCACAUGCAUCUCGGAUCAUGAAAAGGUUUAGACGGUGAAGAUAUGCGUUGUGGAUGGAGACAUGCGUUGUGGAUGGAACUUGAAUGUCAAAGCC
rnacentral:lncRNA from 1 species